rnacentral:rRNA from 1 species
AGAGUUUGAUCAUGGCUCAGAAUCAACGCUGGCGGCGCGCUUAACACAUGCAAGUCGCACGAGAAAGUGGAGCAAUCCAUGAGUAAAGUGGCGUACGGGAGUAACACGUGGAUCAUCUACCUCUUGGUGGGGAAUAACCCUGGGAAACCGGGGCUAAUACCGCAUAAGCCUGCGAAGGGAAAGCAGCAAUGCGCCGAGAGAGGAGUCCGCGGCCGAUUAGCUAGUUGGUAGGGUAAUGGCCUACCAAGGCAAUGAUCGGUAGCCGGCCUGAGAGGGCACACGGCCACACUGGCACUGAAACACGGGCCAGACUCCUACGGGAGGCAGCAGUGGGGAAUCUUGCACAAUGGAGGAAACUCUGAUGCAGCGACGCCGCGUGAGCGAUGAAGCCCUUCGGGGUGUAAAGCUCUUUCGACGGGAACGAUAAUGACGGUACCCGGAGAAGAAGCUGCGGCUAACUACGUGCCAGCAGCCGCGGUAAUACGUAGGCAGCAAGCGUUGUUCGGAAUUACUGGGCGUAAAGAGUGUGUAGGCGGUUCUCUAUGUUCGGUGUGAAAUCUCCCGGCUUAACUGGGAGGGUGCGCCGAAAACUGGAGGGCUUGAGUAUGGGAGAGGAAAGCGGAAUUCCUGGUGUAGCGGUGAAAUGCGUAGAUAUCAGGAGGAACACCUGCGGUGUAGACGGCUUUCUGGACCAUCACUGACGCUGAGACACGAAAGCGUGGGUAGCAAACAGGAUUAGAUACCCUAGUAGUCC